UCCGCAGGCAUCUAGUUAUAUAGUCUUGAACAGGCCCAAUUUCUCUCAAAAUAGAGCAGAAGCCAUAGGGAGAAACUCCCAAAAGCAACUGAAAUCCUAGCUGGCUGGAACCCCGCAGGUUCUCCACAGUUAAAAUGUUAUCUUCUGUCGUGAGAGGAGUGGAAAUACCCCGCCAAUUGACACCCAAGAUGAAAACGGGCCUCUUCAUUUACAUCUUGGCCCUGAAAUUUAUUAGCAGUCAUGAUGGCGAGGAACAUGCAAAGU
rnacentral:lncRNA from 1 species